rnacentral:rRNA from 1 species
UAUGUAGGCAGCAAGCGUUGUUCGGAGUUACUGGGCGUAAAGGGUGCGUAGGCGGCUUUUUAAGUCUGGUGUGAAAUCUCCCGGCUCAACUGGGAGGGUGCGCCGGAUACUGAGGGGCUAGAGUGUGGGAGAGGAAAGUGGAAUUCCUGGUGUAGCGGUGAAAUGCGUAGAUAUCAGGAGGAACACCGGUGGUGUAAACGGCUUUCUGGACCAUAACUGACGCUGAGGCACGAAAGCGUGGGUAGCAAACAGG